AACGAACGCUGGCGGCGUGCCUCAUACAUGCAAGUCGUACGCGAAUCCUGCCGCAAGGCAGGGUUUUGAGUGGCAAACGGGUGCGUAACACGUAGGUAAUCUUCCUUUGAGUUGGGGAUAAACCCUCGAAAGGGGGUCUAAUACCGAAUAACACUUCUGGUUGGCAUCAACCGGAAAUUAAAGAAUGGCCUCUGCUUGCAAGCUAUCGCUCGGAGAUGAGCCUGCGGCCGAUUAGUUAGUUGGCGGGAUAAAAGCCCACCAAGACUUCGAUCGGUAGCCGGUCUGAGAGGAU
rnacentral:rRNA from 1 species